rnacentral:rRNA from 1 species
AUUGAACGCUGGCGGCAGGCCUAACACAUGCAAGUCGGACGGUAGCACAGAGGAGCUUGCUCCUCGGGUGACGAGUGGCGGACGGGUGAGUAAUGUCUGGGGAUCUGCCCGAUAGAGGGGGAUAACCACUGGAAACGGUGGCUAAUACCGCAUAACGUCGCAAGACCAAAGAGGGGGACCUUCGGGCCUCUCACUAUCGGAUGAACCCAGAUGGGAUUAGCUAGUAGGCGGAGUAAUGGCCCACCUAGGCGACGAUCCCUAGCUGGUCUGAGAGGAUGACCAGCCACACUGGAACUGAGACACGGUCCAGACUCCUACGGGAGGCAGCAGUGGGGAAUAUUGCACAAUGGGCGCAAGCCUGAUGCAGCCAUGCCGCGUGUAUGAAGAAGGCCUUCGGGUUGUAAAGUACUUUCAGCGGGGAGGAAGGCGGUGAGGUUAAUAACCUUGCCGAUUGACGUUACCCGCAGAAGAAGCACCGGCUAACUCCGUGCCAGCCGCCGCCGUAA